CCUACGGGUGGCUGCAGUGGGGAAUAUUGGACAAUGGGGGCAACCCUGAUCCAGCCAUGCCGCGUGUGUGAAGAAGGCCCUCGGGUUGUAAAGCACUUUCAGUGAGGAAGAACGCCUGGUGGUUAAUACCCAUCAGGAAAGACAUCACUCACAGAAGAAGCACCGGCUAACUCCGUGCCAGCAGCCGCGGUAAUACGGAGGGUGCGAGCGUUAAUCGGAAUUACUGGGCGUAAAGCGCGCGUAGGUGGCUUGAUAAGCCGGUUGUGAAAGCCCCGGGCUCAACCUGGGAACGGCAUCCGGAACUGUCAAGCUAGAGUGUAGGAGAGGAAGGUAGAAUUCCCGGUGUAGCGGUGAAAUGCGUAGAGAUCGGGAGGAAUACCAGUGGCGAAGGCGGCCUUCUGGACUGACACUGACACUGAGGUGCGAAAGCGUGGGUAGCAAACAGGAUUAGAUACCCUAGUAGUC
rnacentral:rRNA from 1 species